GUGGCUAUAUGUUAAUGGUAGACUGCUCAGCUUCCACCUGUGUUGUGCUGAUUCGACUUCAGCUGGCCACA
rfam:Arthrobotrys oligospora ATCC 24927 unplaced genomic scaffold scaffold00048, whole genome shotgun sequence.